rnacentral:rRNA from 1 species
GACGAACCGUGCGAACGUUGUUCGGAAUCACUGGGCUUAAAGGGCGCGUAGGCGGGCCUCCAAGUCCGGGGUGAAAUCUUUCGGCUUAACCGGAAAAGUGCCUUGGAUACUGGGGCCUUGAGGGAGGCAGGGGCGGAUGGAACUUCCGGUGGAGCGGUGAAAUGCGUUGAUAUCGGAAGGAACGCCGGUGGCGAAAGCGAUCCGCUGGACCUCUUCUGACGCUGAGGCGCGAAAGCCAGGGGAGCAAACGGG